rnacentral:rRNA from 1 species
GGAGUUUGGUCCGUGUCUCAGUACCAAUGUGGGGGACCUUCCUCUCAGAACCCCUACUGAUCGAUGGCUUGGUGGGCCGUUACCCCGCCAACAACCUAAUCAGACGCAUCCCCAUCCCAUAGCGGUAAACCUUUGCUUCAUAUCUGAUGCCAUCAACGAAGAACAUAGGGUAUUAAUCCGACUUUCGCCGGGCUAUCCUCUACUAAGGGGAAGGUUGGAUACGCGUUACUCACCCGUGCGCCGGUCGUCAGCAAGAAAAGCAAGCUUUCCUCCUGUUACCCCUCGACUUGCAUGUGUUAAGCCUGUAGCUAGCGUUCAUC